AGUUCGAUUAUGGCUCAGAUUGAACGCUGGCGGGAUGCUACAUGCAGUCGAACAGCAACACGGACUUCGGUCUGGUGGCGAGUGGCGAACGGGUGAGUAAUGUAUCGGAACGUUGCCCUGUAGCGGGGAUAACUACGCGAAAGCGUAGCUAAUACCGCAUACGCCCUUCGGGGGAAAGCGGGGGGACCUUCGGGCCUCGCACUAUUAGAAGCGGCCGAUAUCGGAUUAGCUAGUUGGUGGGGUAACGGCUCACCAAGGCGACGAUCCGUAGCUGGUUUGAAGGACGACCAGCCACACUGGGACUGAGACACGGCCCAGACUCCUACAGGAGGCAGCAGUGGGGGAAUUUUGGACAAUGGAAACCCUGAUCCAGCCAUCCCGCGUGUGCGAUGAAGGCCUUCGGGUUGUAAAAAACGCACGGCGGGAAAAAACGGCACGGGAUAAUACCCCGUGCAACUGACAGUACCUGCAGAAUAAACUUCAGCUAACUACGUGCCAGCAGCCGCGGUAAUACGUAGGGUGCAAGCGUUAAUCGGAAUUACUGGGCGUAAAGCGUGCGCAGGCGGUUCGGAAAGAAGAUGUGAAAUCCCAGAGCUUAACUUUGGAACUGCAUUUUUAACUACCGAGCUAGAGUGUGAAGGGAGGUGGAAUUCCGCGUGUAGCAGUGAAAUGCGUAGAUAUGCGGAGGAACACCGAUGGCGAGGCAGCCUCCUGGGAUAACACUGACGCUCAUGCUGCAGCGAUGGGGAGCAAACAGGAUUAGAUACCCUGGUAGUCCACGCCCUAAACGAUGUCCAACUAGCUGUUGGGGCCUUCGGGCCUUGGUAGCGCAACUAACGCGUGAAGUUGACCGCCUGGGGAGAGCCACGGUCGCAAGAUUAAAACUCAAAGGAAUUGACGGGGACCCGCACAAGCGGUGGAUGAUGUGGGUUAAUUCCACGAUGCAACGCGAAAAACCUUACCUACCCUUGACAUGUCUGGAAUCCCGAAGAGAUUUGGGAGUGCUCGCAAGAGAACCGGAACACAGGUGCUGCAUGGCUGUCGUCAGCUCGUGUCGUGAGAUGUUGGGUUAAGUCCCGCAACGAGCGCAACCCUUGUCAUUAGUUGCUGAAAGGGCACUCUAAUGAGGCUGCCGGUGACAAACCGGAGGAAGGUGGGAUGACGUCAAGUCCUCAUGGCCCUUAUGGGUAGGGCUUCACACGUCAUACAAUGGUCGGGACAGAGGUCGCCAACCAGAGAAGCCAAUCCCAGAAACCCGAUCGUAGUCCGGAUCACGGUCUGCAACUCGACUGCGUGAAGUCGGAAUCGCUAGUAAUCGCGGAUCAGCAUGUCGCGGUGAAUACGUUCCCGGGUCUUGUACACCGCCCGUCACACCAUGGGAGUGGGUUUUACCAGAAGUAGUUAGCCUAACCGUAAGGAGGCGAUUACCACGGUAGGAUUCAUGACUGGGGUGAAGUCGUAAUAAGAUGG
rnacentral:rRNA from 1 species